rnacentral:rRNA from 1 species
UGGCUCAGGAUUAACGCUGGCGGCGUGCCUAACACAUGCAAGUCGAACGGAAUAUCUUCGGAUAUUUAGUGGCGAACGGGUGAGUAAUGUACAGGUAAUGUACCUUCGUACUGCGAAUAACAAGCUGAAAAGUUUGCUAAUACGGAAUAGUUUCCUUCGGGGGCAUCCUUAAAGGAAUAAAGAUUUAUCGUGCGGAGAUCAGCCUGUAUCCUAUUAGUUAGUUGGUGGGGUAAUGGCCUACCAAGACGACGAUGGGUAACUGGUCUGAGAGGAUGAGCAGUCACAUUGGAACUGAGAGACGGUCCAAACUCCUACGGGAGGCAGCAGUGAGGAAUUUUGCGCAAUGGGGGAAACCCUGACGCAGCCAACGCCGCGUGAGUGACGACGGCCUUCGGGUUGUAAAGCUCUGUCGUGUGUGACGAGUAGGGACGGUAACACACAAGGAAGCCUCGGCUAACUACGUGCCAGCAGCAGC